GGGCUCACUUCAGCAGCCCCUGUACUAAAAUUGGCAUAAUACAGAGAAGAUUAGCAUGGCUGCUGCACAAGGAUGACACACAAAUUCAUGAAGCAUUCCAUAUUAAA